UACGAAGGGGGCUAGCGUUGCUCGGAAUGACUGGGCGUAAAGGGCGCGUAGGCGGAUGGCACAGUCAGAUGUGAAAUUCCCGGGCUUAACCUGGGGGCUGCAUUUGAUACGUGUGAUCUGGAGUGAGGAAGAGGGUCGUGGAAUUCCCAGUGUAGAGGUGAAAUUCGUAGAUAUCUGGAGGAACACCGGUGGCGAAGGCGGCAUCCUGGACCGGUAUUGACGCUGAGGCGCGAAAGCCAGGGGAGCAAACGGG
rnacentral:rRNA from 1 species